UCUCAAAUUCCCAAUAACCUAGAUCCAGAUUUUCUCUUUCUCUUUCUCUUUCUCUUUAUAUUCAUAUUCAUUCACACAAACAAAUUAGGGCUCAAUUCCGCAAUUUCACCAUUGAAGCAGCUUCAACAAGUUAGGUUUAAUACAUUCAGAUUUCUCAACAGAUCAUCGUUAUGAUAACAACAACAACAUCUGCAUUGUGAUUGUAAGACGAUGAUCAUGGCGAACGGCAGUCCUCCGUACGAAUGGCUGUUUGAUGAUGACGAUGACGGUUACGGUUUUGACGUAACCGCCAUGGAAGACAAUCGUUGGAUUUUGAAUCGAUUUUGACGGUUACAGUUUUGACGUAACCGCCAUGGAAGACAAUCGUUUGACGUAACCGUUGGAUUUUGAAUCGAUGUUCAAUUCGAUUGGAGAACAAUCGCGUGGUGACUUUUCGGAGGUAAAAUUCUGAGUUUGUUUGAUUGUUUGUGUUUUAAAAGUGUUUGUGAGUUUGAUUGUGUGAAUACGUAUUGAAUGCGUGAUGUGAUGGUUUGGAUUGAAGGAUUAAGUGUUUUUGAAGAGAUUUUGGAGUGAUUAGUGGUGAAUAUGAGUGUUGUUUUGUAUAAAUGUUUAGAAUGUGAUAUGCUGCUGCAAGUUUAAUGAAGUUUUAAGUGAUUAGAGUGUAUUAUAUGUUUGUGUAAAGGAUUCGAUCUUUUUACAGAUUGCAAAUUGAAUUGAAGUGAAAUAGAAAUUAAAUUCAAGACUCUGUAACUUUAUUAUUGAAUUGAAAUCUUGAUUUAGAGACAAGAAGUUGAGUAGGGAACAAUCUGGAUAUGGUAUUUAUAGCACUUUUAACGCCCUAACUUAUCCAAUUUUGUUGAAUACCGACUCCAGAUGAGUCCUAUGUGGGCGUCACAGUCUCUUUUGGUAGUUUUGUUUAGAAGGGUUUGUGUCAUUGAUGUAAACACGGUUGGGAUUCGUCUGAUUUGUUUGUGUAUGUGUGUAUGUUUAUACCUAGACUUCAUUUUAUGUUUAGUCCUAGAAUUUGUAGUCUGAUCACAAAAUGUGGGGGUGCUUCUAGGUUUCAAGCAUGAUUCUAUGGUUUUGUGUGGAAUUUCCAGAUUAGUUGCAUAUAUUUGUAAAUUUCAUGCUGGUCUUUGUAUUCUAUGUGCUAAUGUCUACUGGUCAACUUGAGUUCGUAGUUUACAAAUGUGUUCCUGGAACGUAGGUCUUGAGCUAAUAUCGGUUAACUGAGUUGGUUAUUUUGUAGUUCUAUAGUUAUUGUUAUUAGAGGUUGGUAAAGGUAAAAACUAUGGCUGUAAACAAACUUAACGUUCAGCGAACAGUUCGUGAAUCGUUGAUGGAAAUGUGAUUUUACGGUUUUCAGCGAUCUUUUACAUACAUGUUCUUUUAAAGAAAGCAAUAAAAAGGAAACGAUGUUUUUUUGUUCCAAAAGGCAUAACUUUCAUAUGUCAAAUAGGAUUGAACAUUUGGUACCAGGUACCGGUACCGAACCAUAUCGGGUAUAUUUGGUACCGGUAUUGGUACCCACUCUUCCCGUUUUUCAAUACCCGGUUGGGUACCUAAUGGGUAUCGUGCUCAUCCCUAAUCGUUUCGUUUACGUAACUAUUGUCAAAUAUGUUAUUCCUAAAAUGCAAGUAUAUGUUUAUAUUUUCUAUGUAUCUUCUUACCGGCAACAAGAUAUGCAUUCUUUGGUAUGAAGUUUUUCAAAUGAUUAAGUUUCUGUUUGUGCAUAGUGUUCUUGGUGGCAUUUUAUUUGGGUUAAUUUGUUUCUUUUAAAUUUUUAAUGGUCAAAUGAGUGAAAUAAAAAAUCUAUCUUAAGCGAAAACGGGUCAAAUAGUGUGAAAGUUUUACAAAAUGUACUUAUAAUGUAUAAAACCAUCCUAAAUUAUUUUAUUAUUAACUAUGUGAUGUUUGGUCAAACACAGGAUUUAACUUUUAAAUAUUAUGCAUAAGAAGUGGUUGUGUUAUGAUAUACAUGCCAAAAAAUAAAAUAAAAAAUAUACGAACAAACUAAAUCUUUUGAGCGUAUUUAGUGAUUGGUGGAAGAUAGGGUUACUGUUGUUGAAUAAGUUUUUAGGGCAUAUAACAUGUGGUUGAUGUUGCAGACUUGGUGAAGUAGUGGUAAUUGGGGAGGUGUUAUUGUUUGAUCAUUUAUAUUAUAGUGGGUGGAGGUAUUAAUGGUUGGUGCUGUAGUUUCACCAACCACUAACAGAUUGAUGGGUACUGACUUUUGAGGUUCUAUGCAUAUGGGGUAAAUGUGCACAUAAAAGUUUUGAUGGGUAUUGACUUUCGAUUCAUAUCGUUUCGACGGGAACCAUACGUCGAAAUGGUUCAAUCCGUACCGCUUCUGCACGUACCGUUUCUACCUGUACCGUUUCGACCAAUACCGUUUCGAAUCGAACUGUUUCGACACGAACCGUUUCGACCCGUACCGUUUCAUAAGUAACUGGCUUGAAAUUGGCAAAUUCGUAUCUUUCUAUUCGUAUAUUCAGUUUAUGAUCAAUUGGAUAAUAUUAUUAUCUUAAAGACCCUUAUGUUCAUUUUUCUGUAACCAAAAGAAUAAAAUAAAUGAUAUUUCUUUCUUGGACCUUUGAUGCAUUAAGUUGAAACUUUUAACUGUGAUGUCACCGUACAAUAUAUAUGAUCGUUAAUAUGGUGGAUGCUUGAUGCAUUUGUGAAUGCUGGAGGCUGAAAGUGGAGAUCAUAGAUGUGGUCAAACUAACGAUGUAAAUGUUAUAUAUUAUGGGCCAAGGUGUGGAUGUUGCAUACUCAUAUGUUUUACAAUUCAGGUCGAUGGAUGAUUCCUUUUAACAGUCAUGAAUAUUGAUUAUUUUUGCUCCAAAAAAAGUGGAACCACUAUUUUUCAAACCCCUUCAACACAUAAAGGGCCUGCAUAUGUACUUUAUAACCCGUAGUUUUAUAACUUCGGGCUAGGAUUAGGCGUAAUGUCAGCUGUUAUGGCAGGUUCAUGCCUCAUAUGGUUUCGUUACUGAGAGGCCGAUUCUUAAGAAAUGAAAGGCCCGUGGAUGAAGAGAGGCUUCCAUCAGUGGCAGCAACUAAGUUAGUCCAGCUAAGACAACGCCACAGUCUCUGGUCUCAGGUAUGUUUUGGCAAAAUUGGCGGAGCAGGCGGGUUGGGUAACGGGUCCAAGCGGGUAACUUUUUUUUCAGGUCAACACGUAUCAGAAUAUAUGCUUUUUUCUUGUGAUUUUCAUCUUUUAUUGGGGCAUGCAUCUUAUAUUUAAAUAGGGAAGGGUUUCGGUCUAGGCUAGCAACCAUUGUUCGUGCUCAAGCAAGCAGUCAACCUGAAAAUUCAUCUCACAACACCACCACUAAUCUUAUUAUGUUCGUGAUCAUUCAUUCCAUGUAACUGUUCCCUAAAAAUCAUAAUAACAUUAUUAUGUUCCAUACACACAAUAUUACACAAAUUUGCAUCAUCAUGUAUCUCGAGAUAUUACAUUAUUUGUCUCAUUGUAGUUUACUAAUUUAUUAUUUCUUGAACGGUUAUUUAA